AGGGACGAGGACGAUGGCUGGCCAAAUACAGCUGGUGAUGGAGCCGGUGGCGGUGGCCCGUCGAGCCGACAGAAACUGCAGAGCAUGCAUGGUGGCCGGUCCGCAGUGAUAAUCUCAUCACAUCAGCUGGUCGAUCUGCAAAUGCAGACCUGAACAUGAAAAUCCUGAAACUCUGAAGUGAUUUCA
rfam:Oryza sativa (indica cultivar-group) chromosome 8, whole genome shotgun sequence.